GGGCUUUGCUCCUCUGCUUGGGGGUGAAGCUGGAGGCGGGCCCCCCGAGGAAGCUCCCCGGGUGGAAGAGGCUGCCGCCGUAGUCGUGGGCGGCGGGCACGUAGGAAGGGGAAGUUGCGGAGAGAGGCUCCUGCCACACACCUGGGAUCACCACCUGGAAGGAAGGAAGGAACGGUGUUUGUUGUUGUUUUGCUUCUCCUGACACUUCCCGGGAUCCAGGCCACAGAACAGAAUAGAUGAUGGCACUUCAGUUGGCUGAGCAUCCUGGAGGAAUUGUGAUCCACUUGUAAAGCCAGUCCCCGGUACAGUACUGGGAAUCUGAGGGAUGGAAAGAACAGCAAAUGCUCUCCACUGAACAAACUGGUGUGAAUGGAAUCACUUGCAAAGCUUGGGCGGGGAAAGGGUUAAGUCGGACGUGUGUGUUGCCAAUUCAAAGUGGGACUGGAGCCUGGAGACCUUGCGGGGAGAUACAGUGGCUUAUGGGGGGUGGGUUAAUGUGUUGUGGUGUAACAAUACCAGUACUAAUACCCUGCUGUUAUUGAUAUUCUGCCCCAUCGUAAUAGUCUGUACUUUCUGAGCGGUAUGGAAGUUUAUAGGGGUCAGUAAAACACACACACCACACACACACACAACCUUACUCCUCAAAAUUCAACAAUCGCCCAACUUUCCAUGCCGCCCCUGUCUUCCCUCCUCCUGUAUUUCCAUCCCCACCCGCCACGAUUCUCCCAUGAUUAUGAAAUGAUGGUGUUUCGCUCUCUCUGGGCUGCCCUGGUUAGAUUUCCUACUGAAGAUGUAGUCUUUAAACUAUGAAAAGAAAAAGGGAGAGAAGAAGACGUGGGGUAUUGGUAAGGGGAAUAGAAAAUAAAACCCCCACCUCUUUCUCCCUCUCCUCGCGCGGUAACAAUCUUAUUCUACAUAUGAAAACAUGAUAAACAUUAAGUUGCUUAAUGAUGAUGAUAAUGAUGAUGAUAAUGCUGCCAGGUUUUUUAUUAUUAUUAUGGGCAGCCCAAUAUUUUCGAAACUGAUUUUUAAAAAUGUAUUUGUGUAAGAGUGUGUGUGUGUGUGUGUGUGUGUGUGUAUUCCCGAAGCCUGGAGACUCUGGGCUCAGCAGCUCCCGAGGUUCUCUCCCUUAUUAUUACUAUCCAGGAGUAAUUUUUCAUCUCUGCUAGCUAAUCUUUGUUCCUUGUGAAGAUAAUGAAUAGUCCAAUCCUUAUCUCCUGGGCUCCUGGAGGCUGCAGGAGAAUGGGGUUGAACAGGGUUGAAAAUUGGUUCCAAAGUGCUGCUGAAUAAAUGCUGUUCCUUAUCUCUCGCUUCCAGAUUAUCGGGACCCUUUCAAAACUCGCACAACAAAUACAGCCACCGCAUCUAAUGCAUCAUUUACCAGAGCAGAUCCCCGCGCGUUUGAUCGGCAGAUAGGCAA